rnacentral:rRNA from 1 species
AUGGUCCGCGGAAAGGCCGUGAUCGAGAAGAUCGAAAACCAGACAAGCCGACAGGUGACCUUCUCCAAGAGGAAGAGCAGAUUGUUCAAGAAGGGCAAGGAACUGGGCGUUCUCUGUGAUGCCCAGGUAGGGAUCUUCAUCUUCUCCAACACCGGACGCCUCUAUGAGUACUCCAAUUCCGGAAUGAAACCCUUAAUUGAAAGAUACCAGGCUGUUAAAGAUGGUCAAAAACUCCUAAGUGCAAGUGCUGAAGCUAAGUUUUGGCAAGCGGAAAGUGCUCGCCUGGAGCAGCAACUACGUACCUUGCAAGAGAAUCAUCGGUAUGACUGA